rnacentral:rRNA from 1 species
GACGAACGCUGGCGGCGUGCUUAACACAUGCAAGUCGAACGGAAAGGCCCUUCGGGGUACUCGAGUGGCGAACGGGUGAGUCACACGUGGGUGAUCUGCCCUGCACUUUGGGAUAAGCCUGGGAAACUGGGUCUAAUACCGAAUAUGAUCAUCGGCUUCAUGGUCGGUGGUGGAAAGCUUUUGCGGUGUGGGAUGGGCCCGCGGCCUAUCAGCUUGUUGGUGGGGUAAUGGCCUACCAAGGCGACGACGGGUAGCCGGCCUGAGAGGGUGACCGGCCACACUGGGACUGAGAUACGGCCCAGACUCCUACGGGAGGCAGCAGUGGGGAAUAUUGCACAAUGGGCGCAAGCCUGAUGCAGCGACGCCGCGUGAGGGAUGACGGCCUUCGGGUUGUAAACCUCUUUCAGCACAGACGAAGCGAAAGUGACGGUAUGUGCAGAAGAAGGACCGGCCAACUACGUG